rnacentral:rRNA from 1 species
GUGUCAGCCGCCGCGGUAAUACGUAGGCAGCAAGCGUUGUUCGGAAUUACUGGGCGUAAAGAGUGUGUAGGCGGUGCUCUAAGUCUGUUGUGAAAUCUCCCGGCUUAACUGGGAGGGUGCGGCGGAGACUGGAGUGCUAGAGUGUGGGAGAGGUAAGCGGAAUUCCUGGUGUAGCGGUGAAAUGCGUAGAUAUCAGGAGGAACACCUGUGGUGUAGACAGCUUACUGGACCACGACUGACGCUGAGACACGAAAGCGUGGGUAGCAAACAGGAUUAGAAACCCUGGUAGUCC